rnacentral:sRNA from 1 species
AGGAUUGACACUCUUAAAUCUUCCUUUUAUCCAUAGAAAAGAUAAAGCAUAGUCAGGAAAUAUUCAGGUUUCCUCAGAUUUGCAGGCCAAUAUGCCUUCCUUUCACCUGAAGGGACAUCUCUAAGGGAGGAGAAAGCAGUUUAGUCACCAUUUUCAUUUUAUCCUUGGCCUUC